AGUUGGCAACACUGGGUGCAAAGACCUCAUGGACUAAAAGCAAAGAAAACAAAUUUCCACGUGGAGCGCGGGCCAUCUGAGGACUGCAGGGGGAAAAAGUAUGACAAAACACCAAGCUCAGGCACAAUCUCGGCAUCAAAAGGGCCAGAUUUAUUCUGUCUUGAUUGGGGGUGCAGUCAAAAUGUCAGGAAAGAGAUUUAACCAUUGUGAUCUACCUAGUACUGCAAAAAGGUAAGUUGCAUUUGUUCUAAUUAACCCUAAUUAAUUUCUAUGAUAAAAUCUCAUGAGGUUAUAAAUGGAAAAAUAUGACAAAAUUAAUAUGAUCUUGCCAACUUUCACCAGCAAAUCUGACAACACUAAAUGGAUAAUAAGUCAUUUGCUGCAGCAUGACAGUAGGCUGUUAAAUGUGAGGAUAGUAAAGCUAAUUUUAAACCAUUCUAUUAAAACAGGUAUGACAUGCAUGCUGCCUCUGCACAUUGUAGUACAGUAAUAUAUAUUAAUCAGUAUAGCCUUUUAACCUAGCUUGAAGAGCGAAGGUAGCAGUGGAUUGCAUGCAGAUCGUAAUCGUACUUUAUUUUGCCAAUUUCCUUGAGCGUUGUGUUGCUAGAAAUAUAUACAAAAUAUACCAACACCAUGCAAUGUCUUCAUAAUGCAACUUGUAUAAAACAAAAUAACUAUGGAAGCUCUGCUUUGUCAUUCAUACAUGUUUUUUUAACACUUGCACUGUUCAUGUAUUGUUUAUGGUGCCAGGGAGAUGCCAUUGCCACUCAGUAUGCAGUCUGACAUGUCCACACAAUUCUGAUCAGGCAACAAAGAUUUUGUAGCUUUUAAUUAUAAUUAAAUUGUAGUUAGGGAUUUAUAUUUCUUAUUUAAUGACAGAUCUUUAGUAUCACAAAGAUUUUUUAAUAUUUCAAUGUUUCAUAUCGGAGGUGGCACAGCUUUACUGGCAAAGUGAAAUGGUUCCACUAAAUAUGCAAUUAACAAAGCAGUUAAGAACACUAAAUUAUGUAACUGUGAUUAUAUGAGAUAAACACAAGGGGCAGUGUAAAACACCUGGAUACCCCCUUGUGCACAUGCGUACAUGCCAAGAUCUUCCAGUAAGGUCAUUUGAUGGCAUUUGAUAAGUUGACAUGUGAUGUAGUAUUUGUAAUAAUCUGCACUACUGUGUAGUUUUUAUUCACCAUAUGGUGAGUGGCACAUUAACCUCAUUUCUUUUCCCACCAAGUCAGUACCCCCUUCUGUGUUUUCAAUAUUCCACAUUCCCCACCAACUACCUGACUGGUGGAGCUUGUGGCUAGCGUUGUUGAGUGGUACUCCCUCUAUAUAUUAUUUGCUGUUUAUUGCUGAGCCUGCUAAUUUAGCUGGAUUCCUGCUAAUUGGCAGAUCUUUGAAGUGGGUACUCCUUCCAAACAACAUACAUCUUUUUUUCUAGUCUUGCAUUAAACAAGUGGGAGGCCACAAAUAACCAUGCUACAAGACUUGUGCUUGUGCAAUAUUAGAAUUAGUCAUAUUCACAAUAACAUUUAUAGUAUUUGUCAGAAGCCCUUAUCCAGAGCAACA